rnacentral:lncRNA from 1 species
CAUAUAUCUGUUUAUAUCUGAAAUGGGAUGUAGGUUUCAGUGUUUUUAACAGGAGAAUUUCCCUAAAAUGUGAAACAUUUUGUUAUGUUAAUCCCUAUAAUAAAUACAUGUUAGAUUUUGGUCGUAGCAGGCAUGUAUCAACUAACAGGUAUGUAAUAUCAGGAUAGAAUGCAAAAUGUACAGAGUAUAAAAUAUGAAGAUGGAUGAAGAAGGGGA